rnacentral:siRNA from 1 species
AUGAAACAAGAUGAUUACAGAGUG